rnacentral:rRNA from 1 species
GAUGAACGCUGGCGGCGUGCCUAAUACAUGCAAGUCGAGCGAAGCGGGGGCGGGUGAGUAACACGUGGAUAACCUCGUAUACGAAUGGGAUAACUUGGGGAAACCGGAGAUACACCUGAUAAUUAUAGGUCGAUCCGCGAUGCAUUAGCUAGUUGGUAAGGUAAAGGCUUACCAAGGCAACGAUGCAUAGCCGACCUGAGAGGGGGAUCUGCCACACUGGAACUGAGACACGGUCCAGACUCCUACGGGAGGCAGGAGUAGGGAAUCUUCCGCAAUGGGCGAAAGCCUGACCGAGCAACGCCGCGUGAGUGAUGAAGGGCUUCGGAUCGUAAAACUCUGUUAUUAGGGAAGCGGUACCUAAUCAGAAAGCCACGGCUAACUACGUGCCAGCCGCCGCGGUAAUUC